rnacentral:lncRNA from 1 species
GAGUCUCUAGUUCAUCUAUUCUUCACAUCAAAUGCAGCUUCGACUGUAUGGAUGUACUUCCUAACGAGAGCAGGAAUUCAUUCAGAAGGUUUGUCUUUACAUCAAGCAAUUACAAAAUGCUGGACAACUCCAGUUGUACCUAGACUUAAAUUAGUUUUUCAAGCUUUACCUGCAUGCAUUGUAUGGGAGUUAUGGAAGAGAAGAAAUAGUUUGAAAUACGGCGAAUCAGUGUUAGUAAAUAGAGUUAUAUAUCAAAUUUCGUCAACGCUACAAUCACUAAUACAACUGAAAAAACCAGGUCUUCAUGUACCUCACAAGUGGAUUGAUCUUCUAACUAUGAUGGAACAAUAUACACCACGUCUGAAGGUCGACAAAGUGCUAUGGGAAUUUCCGUCAACAGGUUGGAUAAAAGUGAAUACUGAUGGAGUAUGUAGAGGGAAUCUAGGGAUAAGUUCAAUUGGGUUUUGUUUAAGAGAUGACAGAGAUGACUUGAUAUAUGCAGAAGGAAGAGAAAUUAAGGAGGGCUCUAACAAUGAAGCUGAGGCAAC